CUGUCAAUACAACGGUUACAUUCAUCGGAAGGAAACAUAAAGGAAAACAUCAACACCUACUACAUUGGAGUAUGUAAAUGUUUAUAGUGCAAAAAAAAAAUAUUAAACAAAUUUAUUAACUAAAAUAUGUUUCUGCCUUGACUGUCAGUUUGUCAGUGCGACAGGCGAGUAGGUUGACAGUCGGCUCUCUGUGAGCUAAAUAGUUGUUAAUUGCUUGUGACAUAUUUCGCAUUUGCUGUGACGUUUUCCACUGACAGCAAAUUUUAGUGCAAUGAGAUCAACAACAACAAAAAUUAUUAUUAUUAUACCAGAAAUGUAGUGAAAAUAUAACAAAUAUUAGAAAACUAUAAACACAUACUCUCGCAUUUAACGUGAUGCUAGAAAUCCUGUGCGUCUCUCGUCUGAGCCACAAGCUGUCGCUUUCGAAAUUUUACUGUGGAUUAAGCGCUUUCCCCAGCAAACCACGUUCAUUAAAUAACGGCUAGAGUUGCUUUCAAUUUGACAGCAUACAAGCGUUUGUUUUUAUGCGGCGGAACCGUUGUGCGUGUCACCGGAAACGGAGGUGUAUGUUAACUGUUCAUGUCAAACUUCCAACGCCAUAUCAAAUACUAAUAAAUAUAUAUAUAUGUAUAUAUAGUAAAUAUAUAUAUGUAUAGUAAUAGCAAAAAAGUGGAAAAAGCAAACCGUUAAUUGCAUGUGUGUUUGUGUGAAAAUACUUAAUUUUUGCUCUCGUGUUAGUGAAUGUAUGCACGCAAAGUUAAUUGGCGGCAAAUGUUGUUGAUGAUGUUGACAGCGACGCAGUCAUAACUCGGUCAGUCGGUCGUUGCUGCGAAGUCACAUGUUACGCAUAAUUAAUGAUAAAAAAAAAUCAAACUACACAUACACACAUAUAUAUACAUAUAUGUAUGUACAUAUUAUUAUUGCCUGCCGACUGCCACAGGGUGUUAAAGCGACGUCUCAUGACUGGUAGAAAAGGAAAGUAGCAUCGCUUUGAAUGUCGACUUCCUGCUGAGCGAGCAAUCGUAUUAUUAGUUAUUGAUGACUUUAUGUGCUGAUGUGUGACUUUGUCAAAAGCUGUUCACUUGUUAUUGAAAUAUUCGUCGCUUUACGUACUUUACGUAUGGUUUUCGAAAGGAUAGGUGAUAAGCGAGCGAUUGAAAAAUGAGUAAAAGGCGGACCCAGCAUUUAAUUAUGAAGCGGCUCGCAAGUCUACAUGUCGCCGGUGCGACGAAAACGAAGGAUGUUAUCGUGUUAUUCUUGAUGGCCGUUCUUGCCGUCAUUGGUACAACCUGCACAGAUGAGAACUAUACAUACGCACUUAUAUUUAUGUACAGAUGAAUCCAACUACUUUGACACUUAAGGGUCUAAUUUGUCGCAUGAACCCCCAUCGCGCAUCGAAUUCACCAACAAUGCCGGCAGCAUUACUGAUUGUAUAGCAUACGUCAACCAGCUUCAGAAUGUUGAAUGGCUGGAUAAGGACAAUAAUCGCAACACAUCCACAUCAAAGCCUUACUCUCUGCUAAACUGUACGUUCGACAUAUACUCGCCAAACGCUCACUUUGUCUCCCUUCCGUUGAGGCGGAAGAGUUACGCCGAGAUGUCCAAUUGUUUCUCCUGAUGUUGUUGUCAAAGCAGCAGAAAUACGUGAGCUGGUGCCGCCUAUUAUGAAGAAGAAGGCCUUUAGCGUGGUGGCACGUCUGGGCGAUCCCGUUGUAGUGCCAUGUGUGAUGGUGUCAGCUUGCCAACGAAUAUAUGACAGCGUGUUCAGAACGGCACCCUACUCAUUGAGAAUGUGCAGCGUACCGCCGAUCAAGGGACGUACACUUGCAGGGCCCGCAACAAGCACAACGGCGCAACAAACGGGGGAGGUGAAAGUUUUGUCGUUAAUGGGGUAAGUUCUAAAAGUAGUAUAUUUGCCUUCAAAUGAAUGUUAGAAUCAGCAUAGGAAACGAUCGGUGGUCAAUGCAAAGUAGUCCUGUCGACAACAGUCGGACAGUGGCAACAGCUUGUAUCCAGAUGCUGCUGUUAUAGCGCGAUAGCACGGUCGCCCACCGCUACGUAAGGCGUGCAAUAACUCACAAAUAACAUUGCGAUUAAUACUUAACAGAAUAUUUGGAUGAUGACCCCAAAACAUGUCUUAGCAAUGCAGUCCAUAGCUUUCGAAUUGGUAAACAGGUUUAUGCGUUAAACAAUACUGCUAAUGAAAAGUAAUCGUAAUUCCGAGAAAAAAGUAUGGAGAAUCAAUGACCUCGUCGUGAGAGCACCUAACCCGAGACGACCCAACAUCUUCUGGUAGUGGAUUUCUAUUUGUAAAAGUUACCGCUCCGUUUGAAAAAAUAUAAAUAAAGAAAUAUUUAUUUUUAUUAUGAUUUAUUAAUUUUAUAUAAUGUUUAGGCCAUAAUAAAAAUUCAUUAUAUCACACAAUAUUAAC